AACAGGAUUAGAUACCCUGGUAGUCCACGCCCUAAACGAUGAUAACUCGAUGUUGGCGAUACACAGUCAGCGUCUAAGCGAAAGCAUUAAGUUAUCCACCUGGGAAGUACGACCGCAAGGUUGAAACUCAAAGGAAUUGACGGGGGCCCGCACAAGCGGAGGAGCAUGUGGUUUAAUUCGGUGAUACGCGAGGAACCUUACCUGGGCUUGAAAGUUAGUGACAGUCCCUGAAAGGGGAUCUUCCGCAAGGACACGAAACUAGGUGCUGCAUGGCUGUCGUCAGCUCGUGCCGUGAGGUGUUGGGUUAAGUCCCGUAACGAGCGCAACCCCUAUCAUUAGUUGCCAUCAGGUUAAGCUGGGGACUCUAAUGAGACUGCCCGCGCAAGCGGUGAGGAAGGUGGGGAUGACGUCAAGUCAUCACGGCCCUUACGUCCAGGGCUACACACGUGCUACAAUGGUAGAUACAGCAGGUUGCCACAUGGUAACAUGGAGCUAAUCCCAAAAGUCUAUCUCAGUUCGGAUUGAGGUCUGCAACUCGACCUCAUGAAGCUGGAUUCGCUAGUAAUCGGAAAUCAGCAAUGUUCCGGUGAAUACGUUCCCGGGCCUUGUACACACCGCCCGUCAAGCCAUGGAAGUCGGGGGUACCUGAAGUCGAUAACCGUAAGGAGUCGCCUAGGGUAAAACCGAUGACUGGGGCUAAGUCGUAACAAGGUAACC
rnacentral:rRNA from 1 species